AGCUAAUAGAUACCCAGGUAGUCCUGGCAGUAAACGGUGCACGUUUGGUGUGGGAGGAUUCGACCCUCUGCGCCGGAGCAAACGCGUUAAACGUAGCCGCCUGGGGAGGUACGGUCGCAAGAUUAAAACUACAAAGAAAUUAGACGGGGGCCCGGCACAAGCGGUGGAGUAUGUGGCUCAAAUUCGAUGCAACGCGAAGAACCUUACCAGGCCUUGACAUGCAUCUCUAAGUUGGUGAAAGCCAGCGAGUCUCGAAAGAGACAAUUUGCACAGGUGCUGCAUGGCUGUCGUCAGCUCGUGUCGUGAGAUG
rnacentral:rRNA from 1 species